CCCUAUUAACAUAUCUGAAACAAACUCCACCGGCAAUUUGUGUUCCAAUUGGAUUGAUCACCUAAAAAAUGUAAAAGAGUUGCGCCGGCUUCGCAUGUGGUACACCGUAGAGGGGCUUGGCCGGAGUCGACUCUUCCAAACGCUCAUAUCUCGCGUUGUACGCCGUCGGCUCAACCGCUCCCGGCGUGGAUCGACCAACCGUCGACCCUAGCAUUAACUCCCGCAUUGAUUUUACGUCCGGCUGGCGCACUGCGGGCGCGAUUUGCGAAAAACGCGAACAAUGCCGGCGAAUUUCGCUUCGUCAAAAUGGCCGCCCGGCUCUGCAGAUCUGCCUGCGGCCCGACGUGUGUGAGUGUGUGCGUGUGCAGCGAGCGGCGUUGAAUGCCAUUCGCGGCGCGUUUCGCGACCAGCCGAAAUAUUCGGACAUACGGGGCGAAACACGUUUUCGAAGUGUUUGCGCGAAAACACAGCGGAAGGCCAGCGAUAAGAGGCGGAAAAAUCGGCCGGCUACACAAUGGGGCAAUCCAUACGUCCGUCUCGCUUAUCUCCACCGAACAUAUUCUUUAUUUCUGCAUUAUCUUUGUCUGUUUAAUUUAUCUGUCGUUAUUAUUAAAUCCAGCGUGUUGCACCAACCGUCGUGUUGCGGUGCGAUUUGCAUAGUCGUAGCAUUAUUCAACUGUUUUUCAACUAUCAACAAAUAUGCGCCGACUCAUACACACACUGCCGCAGAUGCACGGGAAUUAUUAUUAGACACGCUGUGAGUGAAUGUGUGCACGAGUCGGCACAUGAGUCACGAGAAACGCCGGUGAUGAAUCGGCACAAGUCGCAAAUCUGGAAUAAUCGAAAGUCGCGAAAGCCAAACAAGGUGACAAAUUUGGUUAGAAUUUCCCAUGCAUACUACAACAUACAUUGAUUGAAUGCACAAUAUGGUCGUGAAGUAUGGAAUUAAUUGAAUAGUUUUUUUCGGGGCGUACGACGCGUGGAAAUAAUUGGUGCGCUUAAUUAAUGCGCGCUUGACUCAGACUCAUUUAGCUAAUUGGUGUUUUAUUUCAUUCUAUUUGAUUCAAUUCCACUAUUACUCAAACAUAACCUAGAAUGAAUUCGUCGACCAUUGCGUGAAUAAAACGUGUCGAAUCAUGUUUGAGGGUUGAGGAGAGCAGAACAAAGCACUACGCACACGCAUAAGGGAAGUUGUACGCGAGAUUUUAGGGUCGCGCCGCUCUUUGCGCAUCACCAUCAUCAUCCCUUCGGGAUGCGCGCGUGUGCGCGCGCUUGGAAUUCAAUGUCGCGGACGCGGAAAGCUACGCCACGCGACGCGCCGCCACCACCCCAUUGACGGGAACGCGCGCCGGGGUGUGCCGGUCCCGACUUUAUUGAUCCUGCGCGCCGGCGAAGGGGCGAAAGCAGCGUGUGCCGUGUGGCUGGCUGACGUUGGUUCUGUGGAUAUAUUUGUGUGUGUGUGUGAGCGGCGGUGGCGGUCAAUGCGCCGGAUAGCCUUCACCUUGCGCCGGCAUCAAGGCCCCUCCGUGCGUCGAGUCGAGGACGGUCGCGCGUCUCGCGACCGUCUAUGACUAUUAUCUCGGCGAUGCUAGCGAGCCAGUCGGCGUGCACAAGUUCAUUAUGCGUUCAAACAAUCGACGAAUGCCUCGCUGCCCAUCAAGUCUCGAACAGGUGAUGAGCGAAAAUUGAUUAUACGGAAUGUUGCCACAAAAAAAUAAAACACUUUGGAGAGAAAAUGUUGAGUGGCACGCGACCCUUUUUCUCUUGUGUUAUCAUCGAUAAUGAUAGCGUUGGGUUGAGUUAAAAAUUCUUUUCUAGGUAAUUAACGGCUUUUACGUUUUAUCAAUCGUAAAAAGUAGGUUUUACACAAUUUGUGUUGUCAAUAAAAAUUGUAUAUUGCUUAUCGUGUGCAUGUACGGAGAAUUUUGAGAUUAUUUUGUUAUCUUUCCACUUUACACGCCCUAAAAUGUCAUUUUAUGCACUCUAGACAUUUAAUGCGGAUUUUCCUGCUUAUACUUUACUUUUUUCGGAUUCUACGAAAGUGAUUUUAAUUUUAGCCUUUGAAGGUUGCUGCUUGUAUAGCUUAAUUAAAUAUUUCGUUUUGUUCGGUUAUAAUAAUUUCAUUCAUACGUCAUAAAACCAAAGAGCAAGACAACGGACCCCCCUUUGUUAAUAAAUAAUUCAAGAUAGAAAUGUGCCAUGUACGCACAAUGAAACAUAAAACCUCCCGGGCAUAUCGUGUAAAAGUAUUUCUCGUAAUUCCUGCAGUUCGUCGAGUUAAUUGAUAAUUAACUCGAACCUGAACCGUGCAUGUACAACAAAAAUAUUUAGACUUUAAUCGGCUUGCUUGACGUUUAUAAAAUUCAACAAAUAAAUCAUGUUCAUACACGAUUUGAUGGGUUUAUAAGUUUUAUUGUCGAUGAAUUUACAUUUACAAGACGUGCAAUUAUUGAAAUAUUUCGGAUCUGACCUGGUAUUAUUAAUUGUCGGUGGGCAUGCCACAUGUAAUUGUAAUUGUGGAUAAUUGUCGGAGCGUUUAUACGUUUUGAAUGUUCGAUAAUUACAUUGUAAAUCGCGCGCAAUUAGGAUGGUUAUAUGUUUAUUAUGCGUGCCACACAAUAAAUUCAAUGUUAUCAUCAUUAGUUGGCGAAGAAUUAUGUAUCUUUUGAAACAGUGUGAUUGUAUUUUAUCAAACAUCCUGUAGAUUGUUGUGUGUUGCACUUGUGUGUGGUGGCAACGUUCGAUAAUGUCAUUGUGUGGAAGUGUUCAUCUGCUGGAUCGGCAUCGGCCGCCCUAUCCUGCCCAGCGAGAACGGACGUGCAACGUGGAAGUCGUGGAGCUUGAACCGCGCGGGCCGGACGGAACGAACAAAACGUGCGCGCGCCCGGUGCUUGUGCAUGCUGCCAAACAAAAAGACCCGUUUUUCGGCUACAUCUACUUGCGGCCGAAUUCAUCGACUGACUGGUUUUUGGUUUUGCGCCUGGAGAGUUUUUCUUCAUAUAUAUUGCAAUCGUGUAUUAAUUUCGGUUAUAUUUUUGGCAACUGAAAUGAAGUCACUCAAGAUGUUUCCAACUUGUUUCUUGUGAAAAAGAAGAGGAAAAAACUUUGCUGUCGUAAAGUAACUUGCGGCGGAUGAUGCACAAGAUGCACACACAUCCCACAUGCGACUGAAACAUUGAACAUUCUGAAAAUGUGAAAAAUAGCUGCCACUGCCAACUGAAAAAGUUCUCUCCUGCAAGAAGUCCACAAAAUCAACUUUCAGCUUCUUCUGUUUGUAUGUGCGUGUCUCUUGUUUUUCUUUUUUCCUGUAUCAACAUUUCAUACUCAUCCCCCCUGGCUAGAUAGCUACUAGAACCGAGGUAGAAAGAAAAGCUUUUACUUGAUAUUAACCAAAAGAUCUAGGAGUUUUAAAAGGUCUCGGCUCUUCGGUUCUAUUCUAUUCUGAACAUCUUACAUACGUGUUGUUGUGUUGUGCGUCAUGAUGGAAGUAUUUUUCCACCAUGUUGUUGUUGCGCGCACACACAUUAUCUGUACAACAGCUGUUGUGCAUUGCACGAGACCCUUCACCUAAGCUGCUCUUUUUUAAUGUAUGCAUGUGAACAAACCGCCGCGAGACUUUAGAAUUCACUCGUAACGGGAGUUUAUCAAAAUUUAUGCGACUUUUAAACACGGCACGGCGUUGUGUUUGGGCGUGUUAAGUUGUGAAAGGUUAUCACGCCGAGUGCAAAUAAUUGCCGGCGUGGAUUUUUAUUUGUCAGCUUAUAAAUAAAACGUUUGAUAGCGUUAAA